CAGCUUUCUGAGGCAUUUUAAGGAGGCCUAGGGAAGGAAGAGUGAUGAUCUGGAGCUCAGUCGAGCUAUCCUCCGUGGACUACCUUAAAAAUCCUCACUGCUUGGGGUUUUGCUUCCUUUAAACUGUUUCUACUUUCUACUCUGGAGAAGAGAAGCAACAUCUUGUGAGUUUGGAAGUAAUUUGCAGAAUUCUGAAGAGAAUUGGAAACAAAGCUUUUCUUAUCAGAAACCCCCCUAAAUCAUUAAGGUACCGGAUUAUGAGGCUGUCUGGAAGGUCCCUAAGAGAGGCGCAAGAUAAAGUUGAGUUGAAGUCUUCCUUAAGAGGGACAGUGUAG
rnacentral:lncRNA from 11 species